rnacentral:rRNA from 1 species
UACGAGAGGCCCAAACGUUAUUCGGAUUUACUGGGCUUAAAGAGUUCGUAGGCGGCGCAGAAAGUAGGGUGUGAAAGCCCUCGGCUCAACCGAGGAAUUGCGCUCUAAACUACUGUGCUUGAGGAAGCUAGAGGUGAGCGGAACUGAUGGUGGAGCGGUGAAAUGCGUUGAUAUCAUCAGGAACACCGGGAGGCGAAGGCGGCUCACUUGGGGCUUUUCUGACGCUGAGGAACGAAAGCCAGGGGAGCGAACGGG